UACGUAGGGACCGAGCGUUGUCCGGAUUCAUUGGGCGUAAAGAGCUCGUAGGCGGCUGCUCAAGUCGAAUGUGAAAACUCGAGGCUCAACCUCGAGCCUGCAUUCGAUACUGGGCGGCUAGAGUCUGGUAGGGGGAUCUGGAAUUCCUGGUGUAGCGGUGGAAUGCGCAGAUAUCAGGAGGAACACCGGUGCGGAAGGCGGGAUCCUGGCCAGUAGUCGACGCUGAGGUAGCGAAAGCGAUGGGA
rnacentral:rRNA from 1 species